UGCAAUGACUGAGUCUGGCUCUAAUGGCAAAUUUUGUGUAAGUCUAAAGUAAGUUUAAAACCAACCAAGAGUCUCACAAUGACAGUUUUUCUGCUUGAUGACAAAAACAGGACAACACAACUUGGGCAGCAAACAUCUUCAAUAGUUUCACCGUUGCUUUAGUUUUCAGAACUGUAAUUGUCUGGCACAUGCAACAUUUUCAUCUCCUGAACAUUUUCAGGCUCCACGAGUGGCUAGAAAAUUAUUGCAGAAACUUAGGGUGGAACUUCAAGGGAAGUUCUUCAAAAUGACAGAAGAGAGAAGUCAUGUUUAAACCUUACCUGCCUUUGAACUUCAUCCAAACAGACAAACCCGGACAAACCAGGACAAACUGAUGUAGUCAUGUCAAAAUCUACAGCUGUAUCUGCUACGUUUGACAUUGAUCUCGGCAUCCUUCUUCAACGGCACCUCAAUUGCAAGCAAGGCAGUCUAUGUUCUGGAUGGCAGCCAGUGACCCAACAAAGUGAUGCUGAAUCUCCAUACAAACCAGAAUGGACUGGAUGCUUUCUCCCUCACCACUGCUAACUUUCCUAAAGCCAAUCUGAAUUAUCUUAUCCUUUUUAUAAACUCUUGCAAGAAACCAAUUCUAUUAAUUUGUUCCCUAGGCAAGUGCAACUUCAGAGGUGGUUUAUAGUUAUAAAUGGCCAUACUUCAGUAAAGAAACAAUGACUUUGUCGCUUUUCCAAACUGCUACUCCUGACAAACCAUAAUAUAGUGAACUGAUUAUAGUAAAGCUUGAGCAGCCGUUGAAAUGUGGCACCAAGAAUCCAGUGACCAUCAAAUAUUCGUUUGUUGGAGAGACUGGCAACUACAGUGUUGACAUAGUUUAUACUGUGGAUGCUGGUUUUGUGACUACUUUAAGGUUUUGAUCACUGCACUAGGCCAUUUGUCUUGCACCUCUUAUGCAGCAGCCUGGCUUUCUGUCUCCUGUCAGGUCUUCAGCAGGUCUACAGCAGUUCCUGGUGAUGGAAAUGUUUUGUCUCUGCUCGAGCAGGAUCCCUGGGUGGCCUCAGCGAUGUAGAUCAGAGUGUCCUGAUCUUGGAGUCAGGACGACAUCUGAAUGCUGAAGUGGUAUUCAUGGGCCACUGAUGAGAUUUCAUGUUUGAACUUAUCGGGAUUAGAAUCCACUGCUGACAUGCAGG